rnacentral:rRNA from 1 species
AUUGAACGCUGGCGGCAGGCUUAACACAUGCAAGUCGAACGAGUGGCGGACGGGUGAGUAAUGCUUGGGAAUCUAGCUUACGGAGGGGGAUAACUACGGGAAACCGUAGCUAAUACCGCGACCCAUAGGAUGAGCCGAAGUGGGAUUAGGUAGUUGGUGAGGUAAAGGAUCACCAAGCCGACGAUCCCUAGCCGGUCGGAGGGGAUGACCAGCCACACUGGGACUGAGACACGGCCCAGACUCCUACGGGAGGCAGCAGUGGGGAAUAUUACGCAAUGGGGGCAACCUGACGGAGCCAUGCCGCGUGACUGAAGAAGGCCUUCGGAUUGUAAAGUUCUUUCGGUAGCGAGGCGUUAACUACAGAGGAAGCACCGGCUAACUCCGUGCCAGCAGCCGCGGUAAUAC